rnacentral:pre_miRNA from 1 species
CCUCAGGGCUGUAGAACAGGGCUGGGAUUACUAAAGCCCUGUUCUAUGCCCUGAGGGA